rnacentral:rRNA from 1 species
UACGUAGGGGGCUAGCGUUGUCCGGAAUCAUUGGGCGUAAAGCGCGCGUAGGCGGCCCGGUAAGUCCGCUGUAAAAGUCAAAGGCUCAACCUUUGAAUGUCAGUGGAUACUGCCAGGCUAGAGUCCGGAAGAGGCGAGUGGAACUCCUGGUGUAGCGGUGGAAUGCGCAGAUAUCAGGAAGAACACCGACGGCGAAGGCAGCUCGCUGGGACGGUACUGACACUGAGGCGCGAAAGCGUGGGGAGCGAACAGG